rnacentral:rRNA from 1 species
CCCUUAGAUGUUCUGGGCCGCACGCGCGCUACACUGAUGCAUUCAACGAGUUUACAACCUCGACCGAAAGGUCUGGGUAACCUUUUGAACUUGCAUCGUGAUGGGGAUAGAUUAUUGCAAUUAUUAAUCUUCAACGAGGAAUUCCUAGUAAGCGCAUGUCAUCAGCGUGCGUUGAUUACGUCCCUGCCCUUUGUACACACCGCCCGUCGCUCCUACCGAUUGAAUAAUCCGGUGAGGCCCCCGGACUGUGGCGCUGCAUCUGGUUCGCCAGCCGCGGCGCCGCGGGAAGCUGUCCAAACCUUAUGAUUUAGAGGAAGGAGAAGUCGUAACA